AUUGAACGCUGGCGGCAUGCCUUACACAUGCAAGUCGAACGGCAGCGGGCCUUCGGGUGCCGGCGAGUGGCGAACGGGUGAGUAAUGCAUCGGAACGUGCCAUUGAGUGGGGGAUAACGUAGCGAAAGUUACGCUAAUACCGCAUAUUCUGUGAGCAGGAAAGCAGGGGACCGCAAGGCCUUGCGCUCUUUGAGCGGCCGAUGUCAGAUUAGCUAGUUGGUGAGGUAAAGGCUUACCAAGGCGACGAUCUGUAGCGGGUCUGAGAGGAUGAUCCGCCACACUGGAACUGAGACACGGUCCAGACUCCUACGGGAGGCAGCAGUGGGGAAUUUUGGACAAUGGGCGCAAGCCUGAUCCAGCCAUGCCGCGUGAGUGAAGAAGGCCU
rnacentral:rRNA from 1 species